rnacentral:rRNA from 1 species
UACGUAGGGUGCAAGCGUUGUCCGGAAUUAUUGGGCGUAAAGGAGCUCGUAGGCGGUCUGUCGCGUCGAAUGUGAAAACCCGGGGCUCAACCCCGGGCCUGCAUUCGAUACGGGCAGACUAGAGUUCGGUAGGGGAGUCUGGAAUUCCUGGUGUAGCGGUGAAAUGCGCAGAUAUCAGGAGGAACACCGGUGGCGAAGGCGGGACUCUGGGCCGAUACUGACGUGAGGAGCGAAAGCGUGGGGAGCGAACAGG